AGAGUUUGAUCCUGGCUCAGAACGAACGCUGGCGGCAGGCCUAACACAUGCAAGUCGAGGGGGAAGCCAUCUUCGGAUGGUGGAGACCGGCGCACGGGUGAGUAACGCGUGGGAACCUACCCUGGGGUACGGGAUAACCGCUGGAAACGGCGGCUAAUACCGCAUACGCCUUUAGAGGGAAAGAUUUAUCGCCCUGGGAGGGGCCCGCGUUGGAUUAGCUUGUUGGUGGGGUAAAAGCCUACCAAGGCGACGAUCUAUAGCUGGUCUGAGAGGAUGAUCAGCCACACUGGGACUGAGACACGGCCCAGACUCCUACGGGAGGCAGCAGUGGGGAAUAUUGGACAAUGGGGGCAACCCUGAUCCAGCCAUGCCGCGUGCGUGAAGAAGGCCUUAGGGUUGUAAAGCGCUUUCACCGGUGACGAUGAUGACGGUAGCCGGAGAAGAAGCCCCGCUAACU
rnacentral:rRNA from 1 species